rnacentral:snRNA from 1 species
ACGCAUAAUGUGAACACACAAUAG